rnacentral:rRNA from 1 species
UACGAAGGGGGCUAGCGUUGUUCGGAUUUACUGGGCGUAAAGGGCGCGUAGGCGGAUUUUUAAGUCGGGGGUGAAAUCCCUGAGCUCAACUCCGGAACUGCCUUCGAUACUGAAAGUCUGGAGCACGGUAGAGGUGAGUGGAAUUCCGAGUGUAGAGGUGAAAUUCGUAGAUAUUCGGAGGAACACCAGUGGCGAAGGCGGCUCACUGGACCGUUGCUGACGCUGAUGCGCGAAAUCGUGGGGAGCAAACAGG